GGUGGCGCGGGGCCUGGGGAGGGGCUAAGGAGAGGGGUCACUUUUCCCCCUCACCCUCCCUCUCUGCGUUGUCCGGGUCCUGAGUGUCGCCCCAGAAGGGGCUUGGGGAAUGUUGUGGGUUGGGACACACCGGGGAGGUUGCAAACUGGAGAAAGAGAGGGACGACGCCAGGGACCCAGGGCCCUCUCCUUCCAAUUCCCCGAGCCUGCCCGGCCCCGCAGGCUUCUUCCCCUAUAGCGCCCAAUCUGCCCCGGACGGUCCCCAGCUGGCAGUCUGACCCGGUACCCGGUGCACUUGAGCGUCCUCUCUCCGGAUCACUGCUUGGGCCCCCACCUUGGGGAAGAUGCACCCGAGUCCUGCUUCUCAGGGGCUCGUUCUGAAUCGGGCGCCUGCGCUCUUAGGGGGCGCCCACCCCAUCCCGACCACCGAGUUUGCGCCCCUCCUCAGACAAUGUGAGAGACCGACAAACUUUUGAAUGGAUUAAAAUCCAGAGGAGCCCCGCCGGAACAGAUACUGAUCUACCCGACCUCGGAAUUUGGGCUGCGGUUGGACUGGCAGAGGAGUGGAGCCUGAGCAGCUUUCCUCACCCGAGUGUGGGGACUAAGCUGGCAAUGGCAGAGGAAAAGGGAUGCUUCUGAAACUGGAGAGAAUGGGAGAAACAGGGCGCUUGGAGACCCGUAGAGUCUGAAGGGGUCCUCUUUCUCUUGGAUGGAGAAGCUGGUCAAUUCUGACUCUUGGCCGUCUCUCCGAGGAAUGCCCCUUGAUUAGCUGGGCCCACCGCCAUCCACAGCAGCUCAGCAAAAAAAGGAGGCUUCUUAUUCCAGGCGGUGGUGGAGGGAACGCCGACUGUCUGCCCAGAGCAGCCUCCUUGCCCCCAGCCCGGCCUCCCUGGGAAGGAGGGAGCCCAGUUCACUUCGCAGGAUCCGGAAUCUUGAACCUCCGGGGCAGAGCCGACAGCUGCGACCACUUCUUCCAGCCUGAGCCUGCCUCUGGAAGCAGCUUCUGCCGUUGGGUACUCUGCUGCCUCCGCUUCUGCUCUGUUCAGUUUGCUGCUGUGUUUUUCCGUGUCGUGUAGGGAUCUUGGGGGACAGGACAAUGAAAUGUUUCUCCUCAGGUCCCCCAAUCCUUCCCCAUGCCCCCACCAAACCUUAAAGCUGCUGAUGGAUAGUAUUAAGUUGCAGCUUCCGGCCCUGCUCACAAGCUACUCCAAGCAAAUUCUCUUCUGGGCCAGAGGAAGGACAUGUGCUCCUUCCUCAGUCCUUCCUUGCUCACUGAUCCAUUUGAAGGGCAUUUGGGGGUCAAAACUGAGACCAGAUUGCUUCCAUUGGUAUAAAAUCAGCAUUGUUAUCACAAGAAAGGCCCAGAUUUCUCAAAUCAAGGAAAUGAGGGGGCUUCUCCCAGCCCCACACCUCUUCUCUGGCCUCUCAAACCAGUGAUGAUGUAAAGGUUUGUUGAGGUGGAGGAAGAGAAGGGAAAUAGGUAGUUUGCUCUACCAAGAGAUCAAUCUGUAACUGUGGCUGUUCAUUACACCAAUGUUUAUUUAGUACCUACUAUGUGCAAAGCAUUGUCCCCACCUCAGAUUUGUCAUGACAGUCAAUAAUGGAAUUCCUGCCACUGUGAGGCUUCAAUACAU